GGUGAUGAAUAAGAGGGGGUCCAUGUGCAUGCUGGCUCCAGCCAGUUCAUUUACUCACCUUUUUUCCAACACUUGUAUUUGCAUUUACAUGGCCUUAUCAUGGUCAAGCUCAAUAAAAGCCUCCUUUUUUUUUCUUUUUUUAAAUGAAGUCCAAAUUUGAAUAUACAUUGUAGAUAUCUAUUUUGUUUUUACAAUACAAUCAUGAUGAAUUGAU
rnacentral:lncRNA from 1 species